rnacentral:rRNA from 1 species
UGGGGGAUAUUGCACAAUGGGCGAAAGCCUGAUGCAGCGACGCCGCGUGGGGGAUGAAGGCUUUCGGGUUGUAAACCUCUUUCGCUAUCGAACAAGGCUCGCUUAGGGUGGGUUGAGGGUAGGUGGAGAAGAAGCGCCGGCUAACUACGUGCCAGCAGCCGCGGUAAUACGUAGGGCGCGAGCGUUGUCCGGAAUUAUUGGGCGUAAAGGGCUUGUAGGCGGCUUGUUGCGCCUGCUGUGAAAACGCGGGGCUUAACUUCGCGCGUGCAGUGGGUACGGGCAGGCUUGAGUGUGGUAGGGGUGACUGGAAUUCCAGGUGUAGCGGUGGAAUGCGCAGAUAUCUGGAGGAACACCGAUGGCGAAGGCAGGUCACUGGGCCAUUACUGACGCUGAGGAGCGAAAGCAUGGGUAGCGAACAGG